AGGUAAAGCAAACGUGUUGGAAGAUUUGGAUCGGCAUUCCAAUGAGCCUACGGCACGCUAAUGAUGAAAACCUCAUUUUAGCUUCGUUUGUCGCGAGCGAGGAUCGUGAUGGUUCAUAAAUCGUGGAAAGUGGAUUUCUCGCAUUCCAGCAUCAUUUAACGGUUCUAGCUCGUGCGAGGUGAUCAAGGAUUGUGGUAUGGACAGCGCGACAUCCAUCGAGUAUAGUUGUACCUUGUAUAUUUCAUCUGUUUAUAGUUGAUAAAAGCAAAUGUAAAUUAUUUAUUUGAGAGAUGAUAAUUGUAUAUAUUAAGGAAUGUAUGUAUGUGAUCAAAUGGUAAACUUUGUAUUUGAUUUAAAGUAAUCAAGAUACAAUGUAUGAAUGGUUUAGUUAGUUUACUUUCACUUGUACUUGUUGCUUGCCCUCGUGCAAGCCAUGUAUAUUGAAAUGUCAUCCUGGGAUUGUUUCUUUCUCUAUA